rnacentral:misc_RNA from 1 species
GAACGCACAUUGCGCCCCUUGGUAUUCCGAGGGGCAUGCCUGUUCGAGCGUCACUAUAACCACUCAAGCCUCGGCUUGGUCUUGGGGUUCGCGGUCUCGCGGCUCUUAAAAUCAGUGGCAGUGCCGUCUGGCUCUAAGCGUAGUAAUUCUCUCGCUAUAGAGUUCCGGUGGUUACUUGCCAAAACCCCUAAUUUUUUAACGGUUGACCUCGGAUCAGGUAGGGAUACCCGCUGAACUUAAG